UACGAAGGGGGCUAGCGUUGCUCGGAAUCACUGGGCGUAAAGGGUGCGUAGGCGGGUCUUUAAGUCAGGGGUGAAAUCCUGGAGCUCAACUCCAGAACUGCCUUUGAUACUGAAGAUCUUGAGUUCGGGAGAGGUGAGUGGAACUGCGAGUGUAGAGGUGAAAUUCGUAGAUAUUCGCAAGAACACCAGUGGCGAAGGCGGCUCACUGGCCCGUUACCGACGCUCAGGCGCGAUAGCGUGGGGAGCAAACAGG
rnacentral:rRNA from 1 species